rnacentral:rRNA from 1 species
CCUACGGGAGGCAGCAGUGGGGAAUAUUGCACAAUGGGGGAAACCCUGAUGCAGCGACGCCGCGUGAGUGAAGAAGUAUUUCGGUAUGUAAAGCUCUAUCAGCAGGGAAGAAAAUGACGGUACCUGAUUAAGAAGCCCCGGCUAACUACGUGCCAGCAGCCGCGGUAAUACGUAGGGGGCAAGCGUUAUCCGGAUUUACUGGGUGUAAAGGGAGCGUAGACGGCUGCACAAGUCUGGAGUGAAAUGCCGGGGCUUAACCCCGGAACUGCAUUGGAUACUGUGCAGCUUGAGUGCAGGAGAGGUAAGUGGAAUUCCUAGUGUAGCGGUGAAAUGCGUAGAUAUUAGGAGGAACACCAGUGGCGAAGGCGGCUUACUGGACUGUAACUGACGUUGAGGCUCGAAAGCGUGGGGAGCAAACAGGAUUAGAUACCCCUGUAGUC